UCAUCAGAAUGCUUUGGGAGUUUUGAUUUCAGAUGAUUUUAUCUGUGAUGUGCUAAUUUUCAUGACAUAUCACAGACACAAUUAUCUGAACUUUUCAGCUCGUUAACAUCAUCCACAAC
rnacentral:precursor_RNA from 11 species